rnacentral:pre_miRNA from 1 species
UAGAUAGAUUUUUGUAUUCGACUGUAUUCGCGACGUGAAACAGGAGAUUAUAAUUGUUUUUAAACGGAAAGUGAAUCAAUUAACAUAAUAGACUCCU